rnacentral:rRNA from 1 species
AUUGAACGCUGGCGGCAGGCCUAACACAUGCAAGUCGAACGCCAUCUUCGGAUGGAGUGGCAGACGGGUGAGUAACGCGUGGGAACGUACCCUUUGGUUCGGAAUAUUCUCGGGAAACUGGGAGCAAUACCGGAUAAGCCCUACGGGGGAAAGAUUUAUCGCCAAAGGAGCGGCCCGCGUCAGAUUAGGUAGUUGGUGGGGUAAAGGCCUACCAAGCCUACGAUCUGUAGCUGGUCUGAGAGGACGACCAGCCACACUGGAACUGAGACACGGUCCAGACUCCUACGGGAGGCAGCAGUGGGGAAUUUUGGACAAUGGACGCAAGUCUGAUCCAGCCAUUCCGCGUGAGUGAAGAAGGCCUUCGGUUGUAAAGCUCUUCGGCUGGAAGAAAUACGCACAGGCUAAUACUCUGUGUGGAUGACGGUACAGCACAAGAAGNACCGGCUAACUACGUAGCCAGCAGCCGC